GAAAGACAAGAAGAACGUGAGAAAGAGAAAAAGGAAGGAAGAAAGAACAAAAGCCAUAGAAAAGAUUAAAAGAGUUAACCUGGUCUCUUCUGGAAUCUCCAAAAAUAUGGGUCAAGCAAAAAGAUAAUUCAAGAGGAUGCUUUUUGAUCCAUAACACCAAGAAGAAUUCCUCCCAGGCCAUUUUAUCAGAAGUGGGAAUAGGUGGAGAAAAGGGAGAAGCAUUCUUCCAUGUCACAAAGACAAUCGUGCUUGGGGGAAAAUGUCCUGGCCCUAGUUAUCAUAUGAAAGUUCAAUCUCAAUUCAACUGUUUCCAUACCUUGAAAUAGGGAUGUAUCAGACCCAACCUCGCUAUAUUUUGGGAUUCUAUUCAUGACAGAGAAAAAUUCAUACGGCAAGUAUUUCUUGGAACACAGCCAAGGGAUUAGCUCCUGAAAUUUCAAAAUGGCGUCCUUAUAAAUAAACCUCCCUGGAAGUUGUCCUCA
rnacentral:lncRNA from 1 species